GUUUGGAUGUGUGUUUUCAAAGAGUAAAAACCUUUGAAGCACUCUAUUAUAAUUAGUUAUUAUUCGGGUUUCUAUUUCAGGUCACAUCUAAGAAAGAGGAUGCAAUGAGGUUGGCUCAGAUGUAGAAUAACUGAUGUUAAACUUCUUUGUUUGGAGAAAUUAUGCGAAAUGAUUAGGAUUGUAAAUAGGGGAUACCGUGUUGGUGGCAGUAGAUUGAUAUGUUGCCUUGGUGAUGAUAAAGAUGAAAAGUGUUGAGUGUUUACUGAAUCUCCUGAGACUUUGCUCAAUGUUUAUGGUUUGCCAAGAAUAGAAACCUUAGAAGUCUAUGUGUGGAGAUAGGUAUGCCUAUGCUUAAGCCAAUCAUUGUUUUUGAAGUCAGGGACCCAUAAGAGAUCCCAUAGGGUGCAGUUGGAGCUGAGUUUGUAACAGUUUCAGGUGAUUAAUGGUAGAUUUGGCAUUGUUGGAGCUACCGAGGUAUUGUGGGAGGUCGAAAGAGCUCGGGAAGUCUUAAAAAUCAAGGGUUUUGCAAGUGUUUUGAAAAGAAAAGGUAGAUAAUUGGUACGGACCCCUUCCAUCGGACCUUCAUGUGGAUGAUUUUGUCCAAUUAUAAACUAUGUAUGAUUCUAACAAAACAAUUGGAAAAGUUUGUAAAU